AAUAAUGUUAAUGAACUUCAUCAAAACUUGUUAUUUUCUUAUAUUCUCAUGUUUGUGUUCAGAGUUAUAAUGAGGCAUAACAUGCAUAAUUAAUUCGAGUAGGAACCGUUAAUGCAGAAUAUUUUAUGGGGCACAUAAUGGUGACGCACACAAUACCUCGUGCGAUGUGUGAACAGCGCCAUCUUUAGAAGCACAUUUGCUAUUGACGAGGUCGGUUGUGCUUUCUCUCGCUCUUCAAACAAGAGUGCUGCUUUUUCCAUGCUGUAUGGAUCACUGAAGGGGAGAGACGUGUAUCCCAAAAAACAUUAAUUGUGCUCUGUGUAUUUCUGCAGACCUGCUUCUUCAGAAUAAACCUUCCUGAGACCUGCUCCACCUGUAUUGUCAUCUUUGAGAGCAACAAAACACAACCAGAGUAAAACUGCUUCAAUUGCAGAGUCUUCUGACCAAAUUGUAAGUAAUUUAAAAUGCUUAUAAUUUAGGCCAGACUCGACUUACUUUACCUAACCUGAGAAUAAUAAAUAAUAAGGUUAAAAGGUGUUAAGAUCAAAAUUCAUACCGUAAAACAAUAUAUAAAUGGAUUCACCCCACUCAGACAGACCUUAUAUGGCUAGAUAUAUCACUCUGCAAAAACUUGCACAUAUCAGACAUCCCUUUUCUCAGUCAGUCCAU